rnacentral:rRNA from 1 species
AGUGAACGCUGGCGGUAGGCCUAACACAUGCAAGUCGAACGGCAGCACAGUAAGAGCUUGCUCUUACGGGUGGCGAGUGGCGGACGGGUGAGGAAUACAUCGGAAUCUACUUUUUCGUGGGGGAUAACGUAGGGAAACUUACGCUAAUACCGCAUACGACCUACGGGUGAAAGCAGGGGAUCUUCGGACCUUGCGCGAUUGAAUGAGCCGAUGUCGGAUUAGCUAGUUGGCGGGGUAAAGGCCCACCAAGGCGACGAUCCGUAGCUGGUCUGAGAGGAUGACCGGCCCCACUGGACCUGAGACCCGGUCCGGACUCCUACGGGGGGCAGCAUUGGGAAUUAUUGGACAAUGGGCGCAAGCCUGAUCCAGCCAUACCGCGUGGGUGAAGAAGGCCUUCGGGUUGUAAAGCCCUUUUGUUGGGAAAGAAAAGCAGCAGGUUAAUACCCCGCUGUUCUGACGGUACCCAAAGAAUAAGCACCGGCUACCUUCGU